rnacentral:lncRNA from 1 species
AUAUAAUAUAAUAUAAUAUAAUAUAAUAUAAUAACUAGAGUAGAUUAUAUAGAUCUAUAAUAAUUAAACCUCCUCUGCUUUCUCCGGUCUGUGUUUUCAGGCCCCUUAGACUUUUGUCUAGCAUUUUCCUUUUUUGAACAACUUUUGAGAACUGUCCUCCACUGUUUGUAACUUUUUUAUAAUGAAAGUUUCUUUCAUAAAAAAAUCAUAAUUAGAAAAACGUAUUACUUGAUUGGGUGAGAGAAAAAGACUAUAUAGGCAAGGUACUCACAUUUUUAUUUUAAAUCAUUUCAAAAAAAAAUUGUUAAUUUAGUUAUCUUAAGAUAAAAAUUAAUUAAAUUGAUCAUUCUACUAAUAAAUGGUAAUAAAAUAUUAAUGGUAUAUUUUCACAUUAAUCACUCUAAAAUUAAGAUAAAUUACUCUUUAGUCACUCUAUUUAAAGAUUAUUGCUACAUUGGUUUACCCAAUAUAUUUAAAAGUGGAUAACAUUUGACAUGUUAGUUUGAUAAUUUGACAACUUUUUUCUAUUUUAGCCCUUAUAAUGAUAUUAAACUAUAAUAUUGUAUUACGUUAUUACCUAAAUUUUUUUUAUAAAAAUUACAAAAUUUUAGUGAUGUCAUGACAUAAUAUUUAUCACAUAAAUCAAAGUUGAAAAAAUUGUCAAGUUUCAAGACUAAUGUGAAGAAAAGUAUAAAGACUAAAUUAAGAAUUAACAAAUUCAUAGAUUAAAUGUUGCUUUAUCCUAUAUAAAAAGAAUCUCAAUUCAAGGCUACAAUCAUUUAUAACUCUUUUUUUUAAAAAUUAUUUGAUAUAACUCAAUUUAGGGUGUGUUUGAUAAUAGAGGUGAUCAUGAGUCGUGACCAUGUAAAAAUUUAGGUCUAUUUGCUAGGUCCAGGCUCGACCUUAAAAUAUGGGCUUAAAAAUUUGUCCAAGCUCAACUGAGGUAAAAUUGCUAAAACUCGGGCCUGACUCUGCCCGCCCAUAUUAAAUUUUUUAUUUAUAUUAUUUUUUACAUAAUUUUUAAAUAUAUAUAAUACAUCAAAAAUACUAAAAACAUUAAAAUAAAUAUUUCGAAACAAAUUAAAAAUAAUUUUUAAAAAAUAUGUAUACUUAAAUAAUACUAAAAUAGAUGCAACUUAACAAGAAAAUGUCUCUAAAAUAAUAACAAAAUUAACAAUAAAACAAGUGUUAUACAAUAUCCAAACAAUAAUAAUAAAAUAAUAACAAUAUAAUAGUGAAAUGAUAGCAAAAUAGGGAUAAAACAACAAGAAAAUAUCAUUAAAAUAAAAAAAAUAGCAAUUUUUUUUGGCAUUUAGUGAAUUCAAACUAGGCCGGCUGGGCUCGGGCAAAAAAUGUCUUACCCAAGGCCCGACCCAUUUUUAAAACGGACUUUUUUUUUGCCUAAGUCCUCCCACUUUUUGAGUGGGCCUUUAGGGCGAGUCGGGUGGCCCAGCCCAUAAGCAGGUCUAUUUGAUAAACCAUUAAGUUUUUAUUUCAUUAAAAAUGAAUAUUCUCAACAUUAAGUUCUAUUUGGGCAACAUAAAGUAAUUGGAUGAAAAUUUAAUUACACUCUCUUAUAAUUAUAAAGAAUUGUAAUUCUCUAGACAUGUUUGACUAAUAGAGCACAAUUACAUCAUAAUUUAUAAGUCAUGUUUCGUGAUACAAGUUGUAAUUAAAAAAUAUUAAUUGCUAUAAAAAAUUGUCAGCACUAUAAAAGAAAUUUUAAAUGGGUAAGAGAAACUGAAAUCAAUCAUCAUAUGUAAUAUGUUAAUCUAAUAAAGUAUUCGAUAAUACAACUACUAAUAAAAAUAACAAGAAAAUAAACAUCAUAUGCAUUUUUAUCUAGUUAUCUAAUUGUCCUAGCAUUCCAUAUUUUACAUAAUUUUACCUAAAUACUAAUAUAAAUUAAAGUUAUUUUUUAUACAAUCUCUUUUGAUUUUGUCUCAUUUUUCUUUUGCUCCAUUGUUGCUCCUAAAUACCUAAUUAAAACCUAAAAAAAAACCCUUAAAAUUAACAAAUUUAUAAAUCUGGAAAAAUUAUUGGGUUGAUGACAUCAACUCCAAUGAUCUUACUCUUUGCAAUAGUGAUAAUACCAAUUUCAAGCUCUAGUGUUCUUGUGCCUUAAUUUGUAUGGAGCAAUAGUUAAAGUUCUUAUUAGACACCUAUUUUGGCAUGGGUUCAAACUAUGUUACCCCAUCCUAUACCUCUAAUAUUAUAUAAAAAAAAUCAUUUUUGGUGCAAAAAUCUAGAGUAUUUUUAUAAUUACUUUUUUAAAAUUUUUAUUUUUUAUAACUUAUAUUUACUUUUUUUUUUAGAAUUUUUAUAGUUAGGAUUAAGUGACAAUUGUUGUAAACAUAUGGCUGUUGAAAAUUUUAAAUUUAGGAUCAAAUUGAUAAAAUGUGUAAGUAUUGGAUGGCUAAAUUUAUUAUUAGAUUAUUAAAACAAAGCCACAUUAGACAUAUGUAACUAACAGAAGAGUGGCAAAAAUAUUUAAUUUCGAAAAGUUGCAUGGUUAAAAUGAAAAAAUUAAUAGUUGAGUGACCAAAAUAUAAUACACUAAAUAAUUAUGUGAAUAUUCUUAAAAUGUUUAUUAAUUUAGGUUUAAUAUAUUUUUGAUAACCAAAUUGUAAAAAUAUUCAGUAAUUAUUGGUCUAACCUAGAGGUGUGCAUGGGCCGGGCGGCCCGGCCGAAGGCCCGCCCGAAAAAUGGGAGGGUCUGGGUAAAAAUAUAGGCUCAAAAAAUGGGCUUGGACAAAAAACGAGGCCCGUUUAGAAAACGGGCUGGGCCUCGAGUAAGAUUUUUUGGGCCCGGUCCGGCCCGAUUUUAAUAUUAAAUUAUUUUUAAAAUUUUUUUAUUUUUAAUUUUAAGUAACUUUAGUACUUUUACUUUACUUUUUUUGUUGUUUUUAAUAUUAUUUUGAUAUUGUAAAACUUUUGUUAUUAAUAUAAUUUGGUUCUAAUUUGUUUCAAUUUUUCAAUUUUAAUAUAAUUACUUUUUAUUAUAUUUUUAAUUUAUGUAUUAUUUUAAGAGUUAUUUUAGUCCCAUUUUUUAUUUGUUUUUUGUUUUAAUAUUUGUUUUUAUGUUUUAAAUGUAUUUGAUUUGUUAUAUUUUAAAGUUUUUUAUUUAAUAAAAAAACAAUUUUUUUUAAUAUGGCCGGGCCGGGCCGGGCUCGGGCCUACUAUUUUUUCCUCGGGCCGGGCUUGGACAAAUUUCUAAGCCCAUAUUUCAGGCGAGGCCAGGACCAGGCCUUAAAAAUGGGCCAAAAAUUUUUUAUGGGCCUGGCCCAUGCACACCUCUAGUCUAACCAAAAUAAUUUAAGUGUUUCACAAAAAGGUAUAUUUUAAUUUAAAAUUUUAAUAAGAAAAAAGCUAGUUGAUAAUGAAAAAGGAAAGGACAAAAACGUUAAGUUAUAAUAAUAAGAAAAUCAUUUUUUAAUAAUAAAACACCAAAAAAAAAUUCACAAAAGAUAAUAAAAAAGGGAAAAACUAUAGUUAAAUAUUUUUUAAUAUUAUUUUAAAACAAUUUAUAAAAAUAAUUAAACAUUUUAGAAAGUUAAAAUGUUUUUAGUUCAAUCAUAGUACUUUGCACGUUGUAUCGAAAGUAUGUUAUUAAAAUUUUAUAAGAAGAACAUUUUUUAAAUAAAUAAAAAGAACAAAAGAAAAAAUUAAAUAUAAUUAGAAAAAUAUUUUUCUAGUAAAAAAGGAAAAAAAUAAAUAGAAUUCAUAAAAAUGAUACGAAAAGGGAUAAUCAAUUAAACACUUUAUAAUAUUAAUUUAAAAGAACUCAUAAAAAUAAUUAAAUAUUUUAAAAGAGUUCCUACCAAAAAAAAUAUAUUUUAGAGGGGUAAAAACAUUUUAUUUAAAUAUUUUAUAUGGGUAUUUUAGAAGAUUUUAUAUAUUGAUAUGGAUAUUAAAUAUUUUAGAAGAAUCUUUUUUAUUUUGAUAUGAAUAUUAAAUAUUUUAGAAGAAUCUUUUUUAUUUUUUAAUAUUUUUUGGAGUUGACAAUUUAUAUAUUGAUAGAUAUAUAAUCAUACACUAAAAAUCUAUCCUUGAUAAAGAAAUAAGUGACUAAUGGACGUAGUUAUUAUUACUACAUUGGAAAGUAUUUGGUGAAUUAUGGAACUUGUAAGACCAAUGUGUGAUGUGCUAAAGUGCUUAGGAGAUCCAACAUGUACAUACAUACAGCAUCACAAAAAAUUGAAGAAAUGAAGAAUGAGCUUCUUGCAAAACAACGCGAACUAAAUGCUAUCAAGAGAGAUGUGGAGCUGGGGAUAAAAGUAAAGCUUCGAUGGGGAAAACGUGUAAGGCAAGAAGUAGAGAACUGGCUUCCAGAUGUGCAAGCCAUCAAUGACAAAAUAUAGAACAUUGAUGAAAGAAUGCAAAAUGUAUCUUGUUUUUCUCGUGGACGCCUUGGGAAACAAGUUUCGCAAACAAUUGAAGAAGUGAAGGAAAUUAUUGGACGAGGCAGAUUCGGUGAAGCUCUAGUAAUUGAUGAUCCAUCUACUGCUGAAGUGCGUUUGCAAUUGGAACAUUUGGAAGGUCAAACCCUGGUGAAAGCAGACAUUUGGAAGCAUUUGAUGAGUAAUGAAAUUGGAAUGAUUGGAGUAUGUGGGAGGGGCGGGAUCGGGAAAACCACAAUCAUGAAGCACAUCCACACUCAACUAUUGGAGGAGAUUAAAUCUGAACCCUUGUUUGAGAAAAUCAUUUGGGUCACUGUUUCGAAGGAUUUUAGCAUCACCAAAAUACAGCAACAAAUUGCAGAUCGUAUGUACAUAUCUCUUCCAGAUCCUGAAGUAGAGUGUGCAACUGUUUUAGCGAAUGAAUUGGGACGAAACAGGCAUGUGUUGAUCUUAGAUGAUGUUUGGGAAGGGUUCGCUCUCAAGAAGGUAGGGAUCCCUAAACCAACAUCCAGCAAUGGGAGUAAGUUGGUAUUAACUAGUAGAUCGAAAGUGGUUUGUAGAUCUAUAGGCUGUGAGAUAGUCGAAGUGCCUCUUCUUCCCUACAAGGAGUCCAUGAAUUUAUUCUUGGCGCUUACCGAACGUGGGAUUCUAAAGGUUCCAUCUUUGGAAGAAAUUUUGGGCAAUAUUGUUGGAAAGUGCGAUGGGUUACCCCUUGCCAUACAAGUAAUAGCAGGGAGCAUGAAGGGAAUAUCUGAUAUUGUUGAAUGGAGGAACGCAUUAAGAGAGUUACGUGAACAUGUAAUAAGUGUGAAGGGUACAGAUGUUGAAAUAUAUGAGCUAUUAAAGUUUAGUUUCGAUCGUUUGGUAGACUUGAAAAUCCAAAAUUGUUUCCUUUAUUGCUCACUAUAUCCAGAAGACUAUAUAAUUCCAAAGAAGGAAUUAAUAGAAUACUGGAUAGAUGAAGAAUUUCUUGGAACUGGGAGUCGACAAGAGUUAUAUUAUAGGGGUCAUACUAUAUUAAAUAGGCUGGAAAAUAAAUGUUUGUUGGAAAAGCAUGAUAGAGAUACUGUGAAGAUGCAUGAUGUAAUGAGAGAUACAGCAUUAUAUAUCAAAAGUUCUGGCCCCCGUUUUAUGGUAAAAUCUGGCAUCGGACUAAAAGAACUACCAAGCAAGCAAGAAUGGGAAGAAGAUCUUGAAAAAGUUUCCUUCAUGAUGAAUAACGUAUCUGAGAUUCCUCUGCACUUAUCACCCAAUUGUGAGGUUCUUUCUACCUUAUUAUUGCAAAAGAAUGAAUACUUAGAAAGAAUUUCAGAAUCGUUCUUUCAGCAUAUGCAUAGACUCAGCAUGCUUGAUCUUUCUUAUACCAAUGUUGAGCAACUACCAAAUUCUGUGUCAAACUUGGAAAAGCUCAAAGCAUUGGUGCUUCGUGGAUGCUACAACUUGAGAUAUGUGCCUUCACUAGAAAAGCUUGAGGCUCUAAGAAAGUUGGACCUUUGAUAAUACUCUAAAAUGAUGUGUUUUUAUAUAUUAAUCAUGUGUUUAUUUUGAGCUUGAGCCUACUAAUUUGAGCUAUUUAUGUCUUUUUAUCUUUUAGGGACUAAAUUGGAGGCGAAAAGUAAAUUCAAGGGAAAAAGCGUCAAUUUGGAGAUUAAAUGGGCCAAUAUGCAACGUGGGACAAAUAUGGUGCCAAAAGUGCGAACAUGGAAGGCACAAGGACUUAAAAGCAAAUAGAAGAGAUUUUAUUUUGGAAGACUCUAUUUUAUUUUAUUCUAUUAGGAUAAUUAAUAUUAAGAUAAUUAUUAGGAUUAUUCAAAUUUAGGAUUUUAUUUUAAUUAUAUUUGUUUAUCUUUAAUUAAAUGUAUUUAUCUUUUUAGAAUUUAAGUUCAAUUAGACUAUCUCUCUAGCACUAUAAAUAGGGGGUGAAGUGACUUUAUUUGGGAGCAUCUUUUCUGUAAACACUCUCCCCCUAAAAGUCUUUUGUUCUUUCCAUAUUUUUUCUUUUAAUAAAAUUUCUUUUUCCAUAAUUUUAUUUUCUUUUCCACCAUUAUCAUGAGCCACUAAAACCCUUCUAGCCAAAAGUUGUCAAUAUUUCCCCAAAAAGGGUUCUUGAGGCCUAGAAUCCGUACUUAGCCUUUUCGCCAAGUAUUCAUUGUUUCUCCGCACUACGGGCUGACGCUUUCGUCCAUGGCCCUUAAGAAGUAAGCUUUUUAGCAUAUGCAAAGGCCGCUUUGUAUGUUUUGGAAGGAUUGCAUAGUCGGUUCGUUAACUUACUGCGUCAGAGGUUGGCGAGCCUGUAAUACCCUGAAAAUUUUUACAGUAAGAUAUUAUCCUUAAUAUAGUAAAAUAAGAAAAUAAAGUGACAAAAAGGGAAAUUUUGAGUUAUGUCAAUAUUGAGAAGUAUAUUAUGAUAUAUUAAUUCAAGAAAGGACUAAAUUGUAAAAGUGAGAAAAGUUUUGUUGCACAAGAGUAAAUAUUCAUAAUUUGAGGGGUUAAAGUGUAAAUAUGAAAAAGUUGAAGGACCAAUAGUGUAAAUAAUUUAAGAGUGGAAUGAUAUAGAAACUAAGGAAAAUGGAUGAAUUAGGACCAAAUUGAAUAGAUGAAGAACUAUGAGGGACUAAAUUAUAAUUUUACCAAAUUAAAUGAUGACUCAAGGAUGAAAUUUUAAAAGAUAAUGAAGGGCAAAAUGGUCAAUUGGAAGAGAGAGAAAUCUAGAAAGUAAUAAUGAUGCUAGAGAUGUUUUGAUAUUUUAUAAUUAUUUAAUUAGAUAAAUAUUAUUUUGUUAAUACUUUAAUAAGAUAUUUUAUUAUUAUUUUAUUAGUAUAUAAAGAAAGAAAGAUGAGAAAUUCUCAUCCAUAUUUUCCCAUGCACUAACGUGAGAGAAAGAGAGGAAGAAAGAAAGUUUUGCUUUCUUUACAAUUUGGUCCUUUUACCAAAAAUUCACCAUUUUCACCCAAAAAUCAAAUGAAUUUCCAUAGCUACCAAGAGACAAAAAUGUUAAGAAGAGCAUGGAAAGUUAGAAUAUCAAGUUGGAUUCAAGAAAUAGAAGCUGGAGGAGAGAGAAAAUCAAGUUAAAGAUUAGUAUCAAUAGAACAAGGUAAGUAUAUCAAGAUUUCAAUAUGUUUUUAAGUUUGUUAUUAUUGACAAAGCAUGGAAAUAAUGUUAUAGUAGAGUUUUAUUACAUAAGGUCCUAUGUUUUUGAUAUGUUAGUGAAGAGAAAAUAAGAGAAAGUGAUGAGAAAUGGUGUAGAAAAAGAAAAUAAGGGUGUUAUAACAUGGUAAUUAAUAGCUUGCACAAAAACAGUUUGGACAGCAGCAGUAGACUAACUUUGAAAAAUCACCAUAAAUUGUAGAAAUCGAAUUAGAAGAUGAAAAAAAUAUAUAAUUAAAUAUUAUUGAGUAUAGUUUCUCAUAGAAUAAAUAUUGUAAGCAAUGGAUUUGUAAAUUUUGAGAUAUAAUGAAUUUUGUGAGACAAGGUCAGAAUGAAUUCGGGUUCCCCUGUUCUAACUUUGAAAAAUCAUAAAAAAUUGAAUAAAAAUAAUUAUGGGCUUAAAUUAAUAUUUAUAAAAUCCUGAAUGAGUCUAUUUUUAAUAGAAACAAACAAGAACAUCAUUUGAAUCUUGUAUGAGGAGAUAAUUAAUUUUUGGUGAAGAGGGGCAGAACUAUCAGACAGAAGAACAGGGGUAACUUUAAAGAAUAAACUGUACUUAUUGGCUAAACCAAAAAUUCUGAAAUUUUUAUGGUAAGAAUAUAUAUGAGUCUAGAUUCAGGGAAAAUUAUUGGAUAUUAAUUUUUAGUUCUAUAGAUCUAGAUAUAAAUAAUUUAGUGACUAUGAUGCAGAUAGAUAGCUUGAAUAUUCAUAAAAGUAAAUAAUAAAAAUUAUGGAUAAUGUUACUUACAAGUGUGUUAUCUACAUUAAGGAUGUGGAAUGGAGAGAAGGAGGAGGAAAAAUAUGUAUGAAUAUUCAUCUAGCAUGGAAAAUUUGCAUAUUUUAGGCUCAGGGACUAAAUUGAAUAAAAGUAAAACUUUAUGGGCAAUUUUGUAAACAUGUCAGAAAUGACCAAAUUGCAUGAAAUGGAUUAUUUUAUUAUUUAAAUUACAAAAUUGAAUGAAAUUAUUAAUUUAGUUCAAGAUCGGGGGAAAAUAUGUUUUAGGGAUUAAAUUGAAAAGUGUUGAAAUUAUGAAAAAUUCUGAUAUUUUAUAGAAUUCAUGGAUUGUUAUCAAUAUAUAUGAGAAUAAUAGCUGGAAAUAAGGAUUAAAUUGCAAGAAUUUUAUUUUCCUGACCCUAAGGAUGAAAUCGUCAUUAAUUAAAAGUUUAGGGGCAAAAUGGUAAUUUUGCCUAGAGCAUUAAUUAGAUGCAUUAGAAUAUGAAAUGAAUGAAAAUGAUGAUCAAAAUUAUUUAUAAAGAUCUGGACGACUUAAAUAUGAGACUUGAUCGUGGAAAAGAAAAGAUAUCAGAUUAAUGAAAUUAUAAACACAAACAAGCAAUGAGGUAAGUUCGUGUAACUUGAAUUAUAUUCUUAAAUGCUUGAGAUUGUAUGUUAUUUAUGUGAAUAUGAUUUGAAUGUUCAUUGUAUGAAAAUUUAUGAAACAUUGAUAAAUUUGAUAAAAGGAGAAGAAAUCCCGGUUGAAUGAAAAGAAAAUUCGAUGGAUCUCUGAAAAGGAAUUGACGGUAAAAAGGAUCUAGCCCGGACGGGUGAUCCUAUCCUGAUAUAGCCCUCCCGAAGAAUAUGUGUAAAAUGGAUUUAGCCCGGACGGGUAAUCCAAAUUAGGGUCUAAAUUUAGCCUGGACUGGUAAUUCAGAUCCAAGCUCAUUAGAGUAAUUGUCGUUGCAGGGGAUUUAGCCUGGACUGGUAAUCCCGACAAUACUCUAUGAGUUUAUAUUACAGGGGAUUUAGCCUGGACUGGUAAUCCCACUGUAAGGAUGAGGUUCGCGGGAGUGUGCUCUCUGAUAUGAAAUGUGUAAGACCAUGGUUGAAAGAUACCAUGGCAACCUGAUAUGAAAUGUGUAAGACCAUGGUUGAAAGAUACCAUGGCAACCUGAUAUGAAAUGUGUAAGACCAUGGUUGAAAGAUACCAUGGCAACAUGUGUGUAAGACCAUGGUUGAAAGAUACCAUGGCAACCUGAUAUGAAAUGUGUAAGACCAUGGUUGAAAGAUACCAUGGCAACCUGAUAUGAGAUGUGUAAGACCAUGGUUGAAAGAUACCAUGGCAACGUGACAUGAAAAGAAUAAGACCAUGGUUGAAAGAUACCAUGGCAACAUGACAGAAAAUGAGUAAGACCAUAGUUGAAAGACACUAUGGCAUCACGUCAAAGAUAAAUAAGACUGUGGAUGGGAGACGCUAUAACAUCUGUUGAACAAUUGAUAUUCAGGUAAAAUGUAUCAGAUGACGAAUGGUUAUAUGAAAUGGUUGUGUGAAAUGUUUACAAGAACUGGUCAUAUGGAAAUAUAUGUACAAAAGUGUUGCAUGAAAUAAUUAUGAAAAUGGAUAAACGAAAUAAGUAUAAGUACAUGGAAUAUAAUUUAUGUUAAAUUUGAUAUAAGCUAUUACCAGAAUAAAUAUACAUAAAAUAUAUGGAAAUGAUGAAGCAUAAAAUAUUGAUAUAAUGAAAUGAAUGAUAUAUGCUUGUGAAGAAACGGUAAGAGCAUGAUAUGUUUCAUGACAUGUACAUAUAUGAUUAUCUUUGAUUUGUUGAUACAAGGAAAUUAUGUAAUUGAGACUAUUAUUAAACUCAAGUGCAACAUGUCGAGAAAAUAGAUAUAUCAAUGUUGAAUUUAUAUGAGAUAUGUGCAAGUAUACUAACAAUGUUGUUGUUUGAUGCUUAUACAAGUGCCAAACUGUUGAUUGAAUGGUAAUAUAUUUAUUUUAUAUGAUGCAUUGAAUCGGUAAGUAUUUUAAUUUUUUUAAGUGAUCUGCAAAUGGUAGUAAAGCUCUGAAACCCUGUUCUGGCAGCGGAUACGGGUUAGGGGUGUUACAGAGCCAAAGAGACAAAAUGGUGUGGGAUUCGCCAUUGAAAAACGUUGAUCUAGCAUAGAUUACUCGUUAGAGUCAGGUUCCCUAAAAAUCGUAAGUCUAAUCUUUGGAGCUGGUGGUCGUAGGUGUCCUCUUCCACUAUAACUAUCUUACUUGAGUCGAGAAGGAUCAUCCAAAAGCCAAGGAUUGAGCCCAAGGCGGAAUGAGACAACCGGAGGCUGGAACUUUCCCAUAAGAAUUUCUUUUCACUUAAAACUCUCUUUAUUAUUUUUAUUAUUUUCGUAAUCAUAAUUUCAGUAAACUUUAAAUUCUGUUUUUAUUUUAUUUCCGCUUCCAAAAUCAAUUCUUAAAUUCUGUUUUUUUAUUUUUUCCAGGAACGCAGGUUUUUUUGGGCACGAUUCUGCCGAGGAUUUCGAGAAACAAGUAUUCGUAUAAUUCGGUCCCUGAGGAUUCGACCCUACUUUCCCUUUACUGUUCUUUUUCUAUUAUUUUUAUUAUUUUACAGGGAAUAGGUUAUUUUUGGUGCUCUCAACGACCGCAUCAAAUUUUGGCGCCGUUGCCGAGGAUCGGCAACAUACUAAUCUUGUUUUUCUUUGUUUUUUAUGACCAGAUCUGCUCCAGGUACUCUUGCAUUCGACUCAGAAAUUGAAAAAACUGCGAAAGCUAAUCGAAAAGAAACAAAACUAAAGAAAAAGUAGUCAGCAGUGGUUGGAACUCAAAGCAAUCCACUGCCAGAAAUUAGAAUCGACAACGAAGUAGAGUCUAGGGUUAACGAAAACCCUACUCGAACGUUAGAAAGUAAAGAAGAAGAAGUCGAUUCACCUGAAGAGGUCCUUGACGCUAGGGUAGACGAAAACCCUAAUUUAGCACCUCAGCCUAUGGCUCAGACAAUUCGGCAACUGGCCGAAGCGCCGAUAGAACAAUCGCCACUAUGCAUCGCGUAUCCUACUAUGGAUACUGAUUUUGAAUUAAAGUUAGGCUUGAUUUUGCUACUGCCAACUUUCCGUGGGUUACAAAAUGAAAACCCCCACAAGCAUUUAAAAGAAUUCCAUAUGGUUUGUUUGAGUAUGAAACCUCAGGGGGUAACUGAGGAUCAAAUUAAAUUACGCGCUUUCCCUUUUUCCCUAGCAGAUUCAGCUAGGGAAUGGUUAUUUUAUUUACCUCCUGGAUCCAUUACAACUUGGGCUGAUCUAUCUCGUUUAUUUCUUAACAGGUUUUUCCCUGCAUCAUGAGCGGCUGAGUUAAGAAGAGAAAUCGUGGGAAUAAGGCAAAAAGACGCAGAGACUCUAUACGACUAUUGGGAGCGAUUUAAGAAGUUGUGUGCAAGUUGCCCACAACAUGGUAUAACAGAACAGUCUUUGCUCUAGUACUUUUAUGACGGCUUGAAACCCAUGGAGAUGAAUAUGGUAGAUGCCGCAAGUGGAGGAGCGUUAGUCAACAUGACUCCACAACAAGCAAAAGACUUAAUCUCCACAAUGGCUGCGAAUUCCCAGCAAUUUCGAGCCAAUCCUGAACCCCUUAGAAGGGUUCACCAGCUAAGUAAUUCUACCAUUGAAGAUAGACUUGCUAGACUUACUAAUAUUGUGAAUUCCUUUGUUACAGAAAAAUAGAAACCACCCCAAGUAUGUGGAAUAUGUGCUACACCUGAACAUACGACUAAUGCGUGCUCUAGUCUGUGUGACGAUUCUAUGGCCCAUUUAGAUGCUGUGGGAAAUUUUCCUGGGCCACCACAAAGACAAUACAACCCUUACGCCAAUACCUACAACCUAGGAUGGAGGGACCACCCUAAUUUUAGUUAUGGGGCUAAUCCACGAUAUAACCAGCCAUACCAAAAUUGGGCCCCACAACAGUCGCAAGAUUCAGGUAAUUCUCUAGAAACUUUGGUCAAUAAAUUAACAACUAAUGUCCUUGAUUUUCAACAGCAAACUCUCAAUUUCCGAAUAGAAAUGAAGGGUUUUCAGCAGAAAACCGAAACAUCCAUAAGGGAGUUGACCACAUCAAUUGAGAAAUUAAACUCUCAAGGGAAACUCCCAUCACAAACAAAACCAAACCCGAGGUAGAAUGCGAAUGCAGUAACGUUACGAAGCGGAAAGAUCUUGGAACCAGUUCCUGGCAAGAAUCUUGGUCAAGAAAUCGCCCAGGAAAUCCAAAAAAUGACGAACAAAUCCAAGCGAAAUCCCCACUGCCGAAAAUCCAACCUCCAUUCCCAGGACGAUUAAAUCAGUGUCGAAAAAGUAAUGAAGAUAAGGAGAUCCUCGAAACAUUCAGGAAUGUUGAGAUCAACUUACCAUUGUUAGAUGCCAUUAGACAGAUUCCGCGGUAUGCCAAGUUCCUCAAAGAACUUUGCACCAACAAACGAAAAUUAACAGGUAAUGAAAAGGUAAGUGUUAGUGAGAAUGUUUCCGCAGUUCUACAGCGAAAAAUGCCGGUUAAAUGCAAAGAUAGGGGUUUGUUCGCUAUUCCAUGCAAAAUUGGCCAUUUGGGAAUUAAGAAGGCUAUGUGUGAUCUGGGGGCGUCCAUAAAUGUAAUGCCUUAUUCUAUUUAUGAAUCACUUAACGCGGGUUUUUUGACAAAGACAGGUGUUACCAUUCAGUUGGCAGAUAGGUCCAUUGUGCAUCCCGAAGGGGUCCUCGAGGACGUAUUAGUCAAAGUCAAUGGGCUUAUCUUCCCUGCAGAUUUUUAUGUGAUAAAAAUGGAGGAGGAUAACACUCCUGAGUCUUCAGACAUCUUGUUGGGACGACCUUUCCUUAGUACUGCGAAUACUAAGAUUGAUGUACGAAGCGGAACCCUCACGAUGGAGUUUGAUGGGGAGAUCGUGAAGUUUAACAUUUAUGGCACUAUUAGUCAUCCAGGCGAAAUCUUGAGCGUAAACCGCAUCGACCUGAUUGACUCAUUAGUGGACGAGACUUUUGAGUCAACUUAUGAAGAUGAAUCUGAAUAUAGAUAUGAUGAUUUUGAAUCUGUUAAUAAAUUAUUGGCUCCUAUGGAUACUAAACUUCUACCUUCUGUUGUGCAGGCACCAGAUCCGAAAUUAAAACCACUUCUCGAGCGUUUCAAAUUCACAUUUUUGGAGAAUGAUGAGACCAUUGCUUACUUAAAAGGGAUCAACCCCUUAGAGGAAAGUAUGAAACUAAGGAAAGAGGCGCAAGGACGAUUAAACCCAAAUGUGGUGGAUGUGAUAAAAACGGAGAAUUUCCAAACCCAUAAAAAUGAAAGAAUUUAUUUGGAACAAUUUCAAUUCUAGUUGAAGCGUCAAGCUAGCGACGUUAAACAAGCGCUUGUUGGGAGGCAACCCAAUCUUUCUUUUUAUUUUUAUUUAUUAUUUUCCUUUCUUUUCUUUUAUUAUUUAUUAUUUUCUUUUAUUUUUAUUUUAUUUUAGUUAAAUAUUAAUAAAUUUCUCUUCUUCCAUCUAGGUGAAAUGGAGUGAAAAUACGAAGAAAAAAAAGACAGAAAGUGUGCACCAAAACAGCCCUAUCCAUGGUACCAAACAGUUCUAUUCCAGCCCAAAAUGCCUAUCCCUGCUGCCAAACAGUUCUAUUCCAGCCCAGAAUGCCAUAUCUCUGCAGCCAAACAGUCUAUUCCAGCCCUAGAAUCCCCAAAACCUGCAGCCAAACACCCCUUUUCAGCAAAUAAAACCCCCAAACCUUUCAUUUUUUUCCCCCAAAAUUUCUCCAUAACCGCCGACUCCUCUCUCCUCCACCACCCACCGCUGAUUUCUCAGCCACCAUGGUGAGAACCCGAAGCCGAACCGCCGUUGUACACGUCACCCACCCCGUCUCCACCUCUUGCCGCUUCGCCAUCUUCUUCUCCACCGUGUGCGCCAACCGACGGUAACUACAUGGGGAGUUUUUCUAAACUUUUUUUUCUCCACCUAUUUGUUUUCCUUUUACUUUCUCAUCGAGGACUAUGUGUUUUAAGUGGGGGAAGCAUUCUUCGUUGUUAUUAUCUGCUAUUUUUGCUGUCAUAUUUUUGUUGCUGCUGUUUUGUGCUCGUUUCUGCCCAUUUAUUUUAAGAAUAUCCUGCCGCUUUUCAUGCCCAAGAUUUUACCAGGAAUUGCCUACUGUUUGACCUACAAGCAUGAUUCUUACCUUCUAAGGAAGUUAUGAUUUUUCCCAUAAUUGAUGCCAUCUCCACUGUUUUAUUUUUAUUAGGCUAAAAAUAAUUGUGAUUAAUAAGGUUAAUUCUAUCUUGCUUUUCGUAAAAUUGAUCAAGUUUAAUAUAAAGUGAACACUUAAAAUGAUUGCAUGCUUAAUUAAUGUUCAUGGCUAUUAGGUGAUUAUUGAAACUUAUUUUUGACACUUAAAUUUUUUCUUUCCUGAGUUCUCAAGAAUUUUAAAUAUCAUUUAAUUUUUAAUAAAUGUUUUCCAUGGUUAUGAGUACAGCUUAGAUCGUGACUGACUGAGUAACCGGGGUAGGGUGCUUGGGUUGUCAUUCUACUUCGCGUCAAAAGGUUGUGUGACGUGACAAGUAAAACUCUGCUAGCCGAGGUUAUGAGUAUGGCUCAAAUCGUGACUGACUGAGUAACUGGGGUAGGGUGCUUGGGUUGUCAUUCUACUUCGCGUCAAAAGGUUGUGUGACGUGUUGGGUAAUACUCCGCUAACCGGAAAUAAAUAAUUUUAGGAGUAUAUUGGGCUGAGUAACCGGGGUAGGGUGCUUGGGUUGUCAUCUCUCUUCGCGUCAAAAGGUUUAAUAUAUUCCUAAGUAAAUAAAUAAUAAUAAAAUUUUAAAAAAAAGAAAAAAAAAAGAAAAAGAAAAAAAAGAAAAAGAAAAAAAGAAAAAAAGAAAAAAAGAAAAAAAAAGAAAAAAAAGUACUAAUAAAGUUGCACUUCAGGGACUAAAGGAGGAAAUAAUUAAGGUGUCUUAGUAGGUUUGGUAAUUUACCUAAAUAGCAUAACUCAAGUCGAUCUUAAUUUUUGUGUGAAUUAAUUGGAAUAUUUUUUCUGUUUUACUUAAAGCAAGCUUAGAGGUCUCUUUAUUUUUCAUAUGCAUUUUUAACUAAUUUUUAUGAAACUUUAGAGUGGUAUUUCUUUUAUGGCAGAAUCUAGCUUUCACAGUCGAUAGGAACCAUACUUGAGGGCAAGCAUGGACUAAGUAGGGGGAAUUUGAUAAUACUCUAAAAUGACGUGUUUUUAUAUAUUAAUCAUGUGUUUAUUUUGAGCUUGAGCCUACUAAUUUGAGCUAUUUAUGUCUUUUUAUCUUUUAGGGACUAAAUUGGAGGCGAAAAGUAAAUUCAAGGGAAAAAGCGUCAAUUUGGAGAUUAAAUGGGCCAAUAUGCAAUGUGGGACAAAUAUGGUGCCAAAAGUGCGAACAUGGAAGGCACAAGGACUUAAAAGCAAAUAGAAGAGAUUU